CUGGGCAAGAUUCACCGUGACCGGCCUUCUUUAAUACACCGGGCCUAGCAUCGCUUCUUGAAACAAUGCAAAACGUGGAUAGGCCACCUAUAAGCGCAAUACCAGCUACCAGGCCUUAGGUUUCAGUUACAGAAUACGGCAUUCAGCCAAGUUGGUCUUGCGGCAGUCCGUAAGUAUGUGAUGAUCAGCUGGAAUUUGGAGCAUGACAGCGCAUGUACUGCUGUAGUGCCAGAGCUUUAUUCAGUAUUAGCAAAUAUAAAUUUUAUCAAUACGGUUUACAUUUAUUAAGUUAAAAUCUUCACUACUAUGUUGCUUAGGUGAUUUCCAAUAUAGUUCAUUUUUUAGAAUUACCCUCCACCUGGUGAAUUUUUUGUUUUUUCAAUGAAAGUCUUGGGACGAGAGCUAAGCGUCAACUACUUAUUUUCUGCGCUAAAUUAGCGGUAUAUAAGGCUUCGCAUUCAAGUUUAGGUUGUGGAACAGUGUGCUCUUGUAGUUUGGAAGACGUGGGCAUUCGAUGAUGAGCGUCACUGUUCCCGCAAAGCUGAAAGACAAAGCUUAAACCGUGUUCUAGAGGAGAACGUUGUCAGGACAUCAGGUUGUGUAUGCCACGUCCACACGAAGUCGAGGGGUUGCAAGAAUAGCAGAGGCUCCCGGGCAUGCAGGUCGCGGAGGAGAUGGCCAAUUCGCGGUGUGAUACAUGAUCGUGGCUGUUGCGUGCUUUCGAGUGAUAUUGCGGAUGUCCAGAGGCCGAAGGGACGGUUCAUCAAUGGUGAAGUACUUCCAAUUUCAUCAUGUGCUUGGUCCGUAGAAGCAUAGAUCUAGCGUAACAGGUUGUCGGAAGAUGACACCUUUCCUUGGGUGAAUACGGAAAAGCUAAUAAUUUUUCAUUCUCGUAAACUUACAAAAAAAAAUCAUUUUUUUAAAUUUUUGUUUUGUUUUUUGUCCUUUAUAGGAUUGACAGUAUUUUUCUUGUGCUGAUUCUAAACGUAAAAGUUUGAUAUAUUUGUAGCUCUUUAUAGGCUGCAACGAGCGUCUCAGUAGAUAAAAGUAGCCUAUUUACCACGACUUUAUCAAGCUUCCUAGUCACCCUCGUUACAUUGAGUUAAAGCUGAAAUUUGAGUUAAAGCUGAAAUUAGAGUUAAAUAGCCCUUGUGGCCUAAUGAAUAAGGCACCGGCCUCCUAAGCCGGGGAUUGCGAGUUCGAGUCUCGCCAGAGGUAUAACGAAAUGUAUAUAUAUUCAUAGCAAUGUGAUUCCACUCGGAUUACCACAGAUUUGAGCAAAUAUUCCGUUUUUCAGCAGAAAAUUGUUUUCGGGAAAUUAUCAUUUUGUUUAAUGGAGUUUUUUAGUUUUUUCUUAAGUUACUUCUAAAUAAAAAUAUUUAACGAACGUAUUUUAGCAACUAUGAAAGAGCUUUCCGUUGUUUAGAUGGCCGUUUAGCUACAGAUUUAGGUUCUUGAACUGAUGCUUUCUGUCCCUUUACAGGUUUCCCUUUAGGCGGUGAGGUAGGUGGCAUGGAAUUCCGGGAAGCACCAUGGCUCUCAUGCAGGAGUUCUUCUACGAAACUCAGUGGAUCGAAUUCUUCCGAAAAUGACUCCUGAGCAACCGAAGUCAUUUUCUUUGCACUCUUCUUUUUCGCUGUUGCUGAGGUCUUCAUGGUAGCUUCCGGAUUAGGUACCUAAGAAUUCAUCAUGAAUCAAAAUAGCCAAGAACACACAUUGUAAUCGACUUACAUCAAUGUCGCCGUUUUCCGACGAUUUUGUUUUGCUUCUGUUUUCCUUCGAUUUGUUUACCUUGAUGUUCUUCUUUGGCGAUGAUUUCUUGUCCAUCGCGGAUGACUCGCCAAGAGGCUUUGACCCAGCUUUGAAUUUUGAACGUUUCGUAGAGGUUAUAUCUUUCGAUUUACCCUCCGUGCUGUCAUCGCCAGAAUAUUUCAACAUAAUUUCUUCGACGGAAAGUGCGACAUCUAUUGGCUCUUCGGAAAUUUUUGCUUUUUUUGACGGGCGUGAAUCCGUAGACAAUUUGCGUCGAGUUACUUUCGCCUUUGGCUUUUCUGUACCAGGCGUUGCCAUAGAAGUGAAACUUCUAGAUUCAGCAAGGAUUUUUUCGAUAAGUGCAUCAGCAGAUACAGAAUCUGAGGAAUUCAAUUCGUUUGAAGUGGGUAGCUCUUUUUUUCCGUUAGAAAUGGUUUUUGUCGAUUUCUUUGUUUUUGAUUUUUUGCCGGUAGAUUGUGUUUUCUUUGCAGGAAAAUUUUCAGAGGAACACUUUGCCGUUGUAUUUUCUUCGAGAGAAACAGUAUCAGCAACCUUGCUUUUGACUGGUGCUUUCUUACGCGGUAGGGCUUUUGAAGCUGAAACGCGUGAUUCGUUGUCAGAUUCCGAUAUAAAAUUGGGAUCUCUUACUCGAGUGUGACAUUUCCUCGCUGUCGAUUCGAUACGAGAUUUUUUCGGCUUUGGCUUAGAAGGUUCCUGUGCAGAAGGUAAGAGCACUUCCGUAGUUUCAACAUCAGCAACACGGUUCGUCUCACUCACAGAUAUUUCCUGGAGAGCAGAAACUGAAUCCACUUUUUUGGCAUUACCAAUUUGUCGUUUCCUUUUUGCGAACAGUAUUAACAGUUUCUGGCAUUGCUUCAACUUCUGGAUUUGUAAUGUCAGAAUGGGUACGUGACGCUUUGCUAUGUGUGACGGGUCCUGGCGUAGGCAAACGCUUCGAACUAGAAGUUGAAGGCAAAAAACAUCUUGUAAUGUCCGCGAUUCUUCUUGCGCACUUUCCUCCAAAACCUUCCAUCCGCCUAAAAUGGAAGAUUUGCGGUUACUACUUUGCGUGGUAUCCCUUUUACCAUUUUUCGACGAAGAGCUAUCCGACAAAGACUUUUCUCUGGUUUUAGUCAAAAAUUUUUUUUUGGCUGUAGUCUUCCCAAUUGCGAAGAAUUGGAAUCGUUAGUGCUCUUUGCCUUGUGUACUAGUUUAGACGUAGAACCAGCUAUUGGCAGUGGAGCUGAAAAAUGCGGAUUGGGUGGUUUUCGUUGAUGAACAGCUGAGUCGAUUUUUUCUUCUUAAAAGUACCAAAAUGCGAAAUAAAUUAAAACUGUUAGAAAAAAAUCGAUUGAGAAUCUAAAUAAAUAAGGGAUUACCUUCGCCUUCACUGCACGAAGCGAACAUGUCAGGACUUGAAGCCCCGAAAUCCCGAGAAAAGCCUGCCAAACACAUGCGGCAUUACAUUACGCAUCAACGAAAAAAAAAAACUAGAAGUAAUUACUUCUGUUUAGAUUAGAACCGAAAGACAGCUCUGGACGGUCGGUGUUUUCUUCCAAUACACACGCGUAGCUGCUUAGCUGAAUACCAGAUGUUGCGCUGUAAUUCUGGCUAGUUCUUUUGACUAAUGUUUCUUGAGGGAUUUCGAUUUCUUCUUCGACCACAUACUCCUCUUCUUCUUGUUCCAUACUGCUGGGCUUCAUGGCAGUAUUAGCGCAAUACAUGUCAACAUCGAGCUUUUUUAUAACUCGAUUGAUAUUCUCGGCAAUGUCAUCUGUUGAGCUAUUGCUACGAACGCUGAAACCUGUGACAGAAUCAUGUUAAACACAAAAAUAUAUGUCAUACACAAUUAAAUUCAAUACUUACUGACGAGUUCCAUGAGAGGAUAACGAUCUUCGUUCCGAAUAACUUCCUUCGGUUGGCUUGGCGCACCUGAAAACUGCAACAAAGGGGUAGACACACUCGAAAACGAGGAAGCUGGAGGACUCGGCGCAUCGGAAUCUAAAAACAAGAAAAAAAAUACAUAUAUUUUGGAUGCCAUUGUCAAAUUUAUUUUUAUGUGAUACUUAUUGAAUAACUUACAGUCUUCUGAUGCAAGAUAAAGGGAAGAGUCAAAAUAUGUUUCCGAUCGGCCAUCUGUUUCACUCUCAUCUGCUUGGUUUUCAAUGCUACUGAAAUCCGAAUCGUCGCAACAGGAAGACGGAGCGUAAUCGUCAUCUGAAGGGAAAUCUUCACAGGCACGAUCUGAAAUUUCGUCUUCGGAUAACGGGUUCCACCGACGGGAAUCAAAAAAUACUCUCCAACGUUGUUUCGCGGCUUCAAUUUUUGCCAAAAGAUUCGGAUUUAACUCAGGAAAAUUGAAAGUAUCGUCGUCUUCAGUUUCGAUGGGCGAAGACCUGUUGCUGGCCGCAUCCGAGUCAUCCGUUUCAUUUUCCGACAAAUCCAAAAAAGAAUCUCGGGAAUCCAAAGAACAGACCGAACCACCAGCUGACAGUGCCGCACUUCUUGACGAGCGAGUCAUCCCGAGAAAUCUCGAUUGGACAGUCAUCCUCAUUCUCUUCUCAUAUCGUUUAGCCAACAGAUCGUCAAUUGGAAGCUCCAAAAUACCGGCAGUAUCUUUCAUAACUCUGGCUAACGUUUUGUACUCCCCCCUUUCUUUGAGAGGUGCUGAGGUCAAGAUGAAAUUUGUAAACUCCUUCGCUUUUUGCUCAGAGCUUUCGCUCUGAGAAUUGGUUCAAGUCUGGAAUCAAACAUGACUUUGUGAUGGCUUAGCUGUUUAAUGAGGGAUUUCAGUAAUUUGCACUCUGGAUGUUCCCUUAGGGUGGCGACAAACGGAUGAUGAUGGGAUUCCAAAACGUAGCAGACAAAUACUUUGUUGGAGAGAAAUUCUGCGUCACCAUGUGGUAAAUUCAAAGGAGGCCCGGAACGUGGAAGACGGAAGCAUAGCCACCACCUUUUCCUAUCAUUAUGCCAAAGAUCUACCACAGAACGCAGGCAAUCGUCCGUCCCUGAAAAGAUUAGUUAGCGCGUAAACAAUCUUUAACAAGCGCGCACGUGAGGAAAAUUAUACGGGAACGUAACGAACCUUGCAUACAAAUCCAUCUCACGAUGUCAGCCAUAAUGCUCCAUCCUUCUCGGAUAACGGUCGAAGGUACGAUAAAGAUGUGCACGUCCAAAAAGUAAACCAUCAGCUCAAGACACUUGCUGAGACCUUCACGUUUGUGGGCCAAGGAAAUGGCACCAUAAUCCGAUCCGAAAUCAAAAUCCGAUUCAGUGUCAGACUGACAAUUAAUGCCCGAAUUAUGAACGUGCAAAUAAUGUUGGCAGAGCUCCAAAACCUAAUAAAAAAAUAAAAUAAAAUCGAUACACUUUCUUUGUGAAAUAAUUAAACCGAAGACCUUCGCAUCUCCCGAGUUUCUUUCAGCAACCAGUUCAAGAAUAGAGAAUGUUGUGAUGAUGUUGUGAUUGCAUCCUAUAUUUUAAAGAACUACAAAGGACAUUUACCUGGGUAUCCAGCCUUUGCUUUAAAGUCAAUAGUUUCCGAAGCUGAUAUCGGCACUGGUAUUAUAUGACCCGUUCUUUUGGAAACUCGUACUUUCUCUCCUUGCUCUGUAAACCGCCAUUCUACUUUAGUCCCUUUACUACAUCCGAAAAAUAUUAUUAGUCGUAAUAUAACACUAUCAUAAACGGUGUUCUUACUCAUCGGAAGGAUCAACCAAUGCAACCUCAUUCGUGACCAAAAGAGGUGCUUCUGACUGAAUUACUGUACCCGGGUAAUCAUCGGUCUUUCCAAUCCACCUGUAAUGCACGUUUAAGCCUUCAACAACAACCCAAUUCCUUUCCUGAAAAUAGAGAAAAUGUGUAAAAAAUACAGAAUUAGUGACUGUUGCUUUAUGAUACAAUUAA